GAACGGAGUUAUUAUUCAGAAGUUCUUCGGAAUGGAAGGAUAAGAACUUAGUGGCGGACGGGUGAGUAACGCGUGGGUAACCUGCCCUUUUGUGGGGAACAACUUCGAGAAAUCGGAGCUAAUACCGCAUAAUAAUAGAGGAUCGCAUGAUUCUUUAAGGAAAGAUGGCCUCUGAAGAUGCUAUCGCAAAAGGAUGGACCCGCGUCUGAUUAGCUAGUUGGAAGGGUAACGGCCUACCAAGGCAACGAUCAGUAGCCGGCCUGAGAGGGUGAACGGCCACAUUGGGACUGAGACACGGCCCAAACUCCUACGGGAGGCAGCAGUGGGGAAUCUUCCGCAAUGGGCGAAAGCCUGACGGAGCAAUGCCGCGUGAGUGAAGAAGGCCUUCGGGUUGUAAAACUCUGUCCUUAUCGAAGAGAGGUAGGUAUGUGAAUAAUGUACCUAUAGGACGGUAGAUAAGGAGGAAGCCCCGGCUAACUACGUGCCAGCAGCCGCGGUAAUACGUAGGGGGCGAGCGUUGUCCGGAAUCACUGGGCGUAAAGGGCGCGUAAGCGGUUUAAUAAGUCAGUGGUGAAAACUGAAGGCUCAAACCUCAGCCUGCCACUGAUACUGUUAGACUUGAGUAUGGAAGAGGAGAAUGGAAUUCCUAGUGUAGCGGUGAAAUGCGCAGAUAUUAGGAGGAGCACCAGUGGCGAAGGCGAUUCUCUGGGCCAAGACUGACGCUGAGGCGCGAAAGCGUGGGGAGCAAACAGGAUUAGAUACCCUGGUAGUCCACGCCGUAAACGAUGGAUACUAGGUGUUAGUAGUUUCGAUGCUACUAGUGCCGGAGUAAACACAAUAAGUAUCCCGCCUGGGGAGUACGGUCGCAAGACUGAAACUCAAAGGAAUUGACGGGGGCCCGCACAAGCGGUGGAGCAUGUGGUUUAAUUCGACGCAACGCGAAGAACCUUACCAAGACUUGACAUCCUCCUGACAAGAUAUGUAAUGUAUCUCUUUUCUUCGGAGACAGGAGAGACAGGUGGUGCAUGGUUGUCGUCAGCUCGUGUCGUGAGAUGUUGGGUUAAGUCCCGCAACGAGCGCAACCCUUAUUUCUAGUUGCCAGCAGUAAGAUGGGGACUCUAGAGAGACUGCCAGUGACAAACUGGAGGAAGGUGGGGAUGACGUCAAAUCAUCAUGCCCCUUAUGUCUUGGGCUACACACGUGCUACAAUGGUCAGAACAGAGGGAAGCGAAGCCGCGAGGUGGAGCAAAUCCCAGAAAACUGAUCUCAGUUCGGAUUGCAGGCUGCAACCCGCCUGCAUGAAGUCGGAAUCGCUAGUAAUCGCGGGUCAGCAUACCGCGGUGAAUACGUUCCCGG
rnacentral:rRNA from 1 species